rnacentral:rRNA from 1 species
CUACGGGUGGCUCCAGUGGGGAAUCUUAGACAAUGGGCGCAAGCCUGAUCUAGCCAUGCCGCGUGAGUGAUGAAGGCCUUAGGGUCGUAAAGCUCUUUCGCUGGGGAAGAUAAUGACGGUACCCAGUAAAGAAACCCCGGCUAACUCCGUGCCAGCAGCCGCGGGUAAUACGGAGGGGGUUAGCGUUGUUCGGAAUUACUGGGCGUAAAGCGCGCGUAGGCGGACUGUUAAGUCGGGGGUGAAAUCCCGGGGCGCAACCCCGGAACGGCCUUCGAUACUGGCAGUCUGGAGUUCGAGAGAGGUGAGUGGAAUUCCGAGUGUAGAGGUGAAAUUCGUAGAUAUUCGGAGGAACACCAGUGGCGAAGGCGGCUCACUGGCUCGAUACUGACGCUGAGGUGCGAAAGUGUGGGGAGCAAACAGGAUUAGAUACCCGAGUAGUC